CCUAUUUUUUUUAAGUAUGAUAUUCCGGUAUUAUUCAGGUUUUAGAGGCAUUCUUUGGACACAUAUACAGCACAUUCAGAAUGUGUCCCGGUCAGGGUUUUUACCGAAAUUU